rnacentral:rRNA from 1 species
AGUGAACGCUGGCGGUAGGCCUAACACAUGCAAGUCGAACGGCAGCACAGUAAGAGCUUGCUCUUACGGGUGGCGAGUGGCGGACGGGUGAGGAAUACAUCGGAAUCUACUUUUUCGUGGGGGAUAACGUAGGGAAACUUACGCUAAUACCGCAUACGACCUACGGGUGAAAGCAGGGGAUCCUCGGACCUCGCGCGAUUGAAUGAGCCGAUGUCGGAUUAGCUAGUUGGCGGGGUAAAGGCCCACCAAGGCGACGAUCCGUAGCUGGUCUGAGAGGAUGAUCAGCCACACUGGAACUGAGACACGGUCCAGACUCCUACGGGAGGCAGCAGUGGGGAAUAUUGGACAAUGGGCGCAAGCCUGAUCCAGCCAUACCGCGUGGGUGAAGAAGGCCUUCGGGUUGUAAAGCCCUUUUGUUGGGAAAGAAAAGCAGCAGGUUAAUACCCCGCUGUUCUGACGGUACCCAAAGAAUAAGCACCGGCUAACUUCGUG